ensembl:ncRNA ZC247.6 ncRNA
GUCAGCUGAUGUCUCAAAAGUGGGGGUGGUCGAGAUGGGGGGGAGGACCGGAUGGGCUAAUAAAUGACG